UACGUAGGGGGCAAGCGUUGUCCGGAAUUAUUGGGCGUAAAGCGCGCGCAGGCGGCUUUGUAAGUCUAGUGUUUAAUCUCGGAGCUCAACUCCGAUUCGCACCGGAAACUGCAAGGCUUGAGUACAGAAGAGGAAAGUGGAAUUCCACGUGUAGCGGUGAAAUGCGUAGAGAUGCGGAGGAACACCGAUGGCGAAGGCAGCCCCCCUGGGCUAACACUGGACGCUCAGGCACGAAAGCGUGGGGAGCAAACAGG
rnacentral:rRNA from 1 species